UACUCAGUUCGGAUUGUAGGCUGCAACCCGCCUACAUGAAGUUGGAAUUGCUAGUAAUCGCGGAUCAGCAUGCCGCGGUGAAUACGUUCCCGGGUCUUGUACACACCGCCCGUCACACCAUGGGAGUCAGCAACGCCCGAAGCCGGUGACCCAACCGAAAGGAGGGAGCCGUCGAAGGUGGGGCCGAUAACUGGGGUGAAGUCGUAACAAGGUAAC
rnacentral:rRNA from 1 species